rnacentral:rRNA from 1 species
UACGGGGGGGGCAAGCGUUGUUCGGAAUUACUGGGCGUAAAGGGCUCGUAGGUGGCCAACUAAGUCAGACGUGAAAUCCCUCGGCUUAACCGGGGAACUGCGUCUGAUACUGGAUGGCUCGAGUUCGGGAGAGGGAUGCGGAAUUCCAGGUGUAGCGGUGAAAUGCGUAGAUAUCGAGAGGAACACCUGCGGCGAAGGCGGAUCGCUGGGCCAACACUGACGCUGAUGUGCGAAAGCUAGGGGAGCAAACGGG